UACGUAGGGUGCGAGCGUUAAUCGGAAUUACUGGGCGUAAAGCGUGCGCAGGCGGUUUUGUAAGCCAGGUGUGAAAUCCCCGGGCUCAACCUGGGAAUGGCAUUUGGGACUGCAAGGCUGGAGUGCGGCAGAGGAGACUGGAAUUCCUGGUGUAGCAGUGAAAUGCGUAGAUAUCAGGAGGAAUACCGAUGGCGAAGGCAGGUCUCUGGGCUGACACUGACGCUCAUGCACGAAAGCUAGGGGAGCGAAUGGG
rnacentral:rRNA from 1 species